rnacentral:rRNA from 1 species
UACGUAGGGUGCAAGCGUUUGAUCCGGAAUUAUUGGGCGUAAAGAGCUCGUAGGCGGUCUGUCGCAGUCUGCUGUGAAAACUCGGGGCUUAACCCCGGGCCUGCAGUGGGUACGGGCAGACUAGAGUGCGGUAGGGGAGACUGGAAUUCCUGGUGUAGCGGUGAAUGCGUCAGAUAUCAGGAGGAACACCGGUGGCGAAGGCGGGUCUCUUGGACAGUUCCUGACGCUGAGGCACGAAGGUCAGGGGGGAGCAAACGGG